UACGGGGGGGGCAAGCGUUGUUCGGAAUUACUGGGCGUAAAGGGCUUGUAGGUGGCCAACUAAGUCGGACGUGAAAUCCCUCGGCUUAACCGGGGAACUGCGUCUGAUACUGGGUGGCUUGAGUUCGGGAGAGGGAUGCGGAAUUCCAGGUGUAGCGGUGAAAUGCGUAGAUAUCUGGAGGAACACCGGUGGCGAAGGCGGCAUCCUGGACCGACACUGACACUGAGGAGCGAAAGCCAGGGGAGCAAACGGG
rnacentral:rRNA from 1 species